UCAGAAUCUGCAGCUCUCUUCUCUCCACAGUGAAGUCCUCUUUCCAUCUACAGGUGGCUACUGCAUCAGAUCUGUCUCUCUCUGGAGAAGAAGGGACUCUGGGAAGAAUGCUGUGCGCUUGGCACUGAACUGAUCAUCACCAAAGCUGGCAGAUUCUCUAGCUCCUGGGAGCCGCUGGAAGAAAGAAUCAAUCUCCUUCCAGAGAAUAAAGAUCUCCAGUAAAGCUCUGGAGCAGUGUGAUCCUGUAAGAGAAGCCUGGAUAUUUCACUCUGCUUGAAUCUGUAUCAAAAGCGUGGUGCUGUAAACCACAGUCUGUUAUUUUGCACUUGAUGCACGAAGACCUGUCCUGGCUCUGUGUGGUGCUGACCAGGAGGUUGCCUGUGCUUUGCCUGGAACGCGGUAGCUUCCUUUGUGUUCUCAGAAGUGACUUUUAUGGCUGUGAUCGAUGAUCAGAAUCCCAAGUGGGAAGAAGCUCAGAAGCACCGAGCUAGUGAAGCAAGCUGGUAGCAAGGAGGGUGCCGUGAGCUCCGUGGCGAGUGCUGAGCAGCGUCUGGGACACACAAUGCAUCGGCAGGAAAGCAGUGCACCUAACAUCAGGCGUCUGCCAAAACUUGAAAGGGUUCUAGACGCGGAUACUUUGCAUUUGACUCUGGAGCGUAGCCUUUGAGGCCAAACUCAGCCUUCAGUGUUAAGUGGCCUAUUCAGCCAGCG
rnacentral:lncRNA from 1 species